rnacentral:rRNA from 1 species
CUACGGGUGGCUCCAGUGGGGAAUCUUGCGCAAUGGAGGAAACUCUGACGCAGCCACGCCGCGUGAGUGAAGAAGGCCUUCGGGUUGUAAAGCUCUGUCGCGAGGGACGAAGAGCAUUUAGGUGAAUAGCCUAGGUGAUUGACGGUACCUUGAGAGGAAGCACCGGGUAUCUCCGUGCCAGCAGCCGCGGUAAUACGGGAGGGUGCAAGCGUUGCUCGGAAUUAUUGGGCGUAAAGGGCAGGUAGGUGGUCUCAUUUGUCUGUGGUGAAAGCCUUGGGCUUAACCCAAGAAGUGCCUCAGAAACGGUGGGACUAGAGUGCUGGAGGGGAUCGUGGAAUUCCCGGUGUAGCGGUGAAAUGCAUAGAGAUCGGGAGGAACACCAGAGGCGAAGGCGGCGAUCUGGACAGCAACUGACACUCAACUGCGAAAGCGUGGGGAGCAAACAGGAUUAGAUACCCCAGUAGUC